rnacentral:rRNA from 1 species
UCCGUAGGUGAACCUGCGGAAGGAUCAUUAUCGAGUCUGCGCGGUUGCUGCUGGUUCUUACAAGUGCACGCCGUGUCUUUCUUAUCCACCCCACUGUGCAUCUCGGCGUGCUCCGUCUCUGGCGGGCGCGGUCCAUUUUACACCGCAUCUUUUGUAACGAAGCGAAUGAAAUCUUAUAAUAAUGUACAACUAUCAACAACGGAUCUCUUGGCAUCCCACUCGAUGAAGAACGCAGCGAAUUGCGAUAAGUAAUGUGAAUUGCAGAAUUCAGUGAAUCAUCGAAUCUUUGAACGCACCUUGCGCCCUCUGGUAUUCCGGAGAGCAUGCCCGGUUGAGUAUUAUGAUCAUCUCAAACCUUGCGCUUCUGAUUGCAAAGGUCCUGCGUCCGGCGAAGCUGUCUAUCGAGGCGGUGGUAGCUGGACUUGGGCUUGGAAGCGUGUUGGUCUUGGACUUGAGCGUGCUGUCGGUCCUCUUUGGAUCGACUCGCUUGAAAUGUAUUAGCUGGCGACCCGCCUUACGGUUCCACUCGGCGUAGUAAGUCUUAUUCGUCGAGGACAUUUCUUAGGAGAUGGCCGAUGGGUUCGGUGUGAUGCCGCUUCCAGUCGUCUUUGGACAACUUUGAACCUUUAAUCUCAACUCGGGUAGGACUACCCGCUGAACUUAAGCAUAUCAAUAAGCGGAGGA